rnacentral:rRNA from 1 species
UGGGAGCGGCAGACGGGUGAGUAACGCGUGGGGAUCUACCCAUUGGUACGGAAUAACCCAGGGAAACUUGGACUAAUACCGUAUGUGCCCUUCGGGGGAAAGAUUUAUCGCCAAUGGAUGAACCCGCGUCGGAUUAGCUAGUUGGUGAGGUAAAGGCUCACCAAGGCGACGAUCCGUAGCUGGUCUGAGAGGAUGAUCAGCCACACUGGGACUGAGACACGGCCCAGACUCCUACGGGAGGCAGCAGUGGGGAAUAUUGGACAAUGGGCGCAAGCCUGAUCCAGCCAUGCCGCGUGAGUGAUGAAGGCCUUAGGGUUGUAAAGCUCUUUCGCCGGUGAAGAUAAUGACGGUAACCGGAGAAGAAGCCCCGGCUAACUUCGUGCCAGCAGCCGCGGUAAUACCAAGGGGGCUAGCGUUGCUCGGAAUCACUGGGCGUAAAGCGCACGUAGGCGGAUCGUUAAGUCAGGGGUGAAAUCCUGGGGCUCAACCUCAGAACUGCCCUUGAUACUGGCGAUCUCGAGUUCGAGAGAGGUUGGUGGAACUCCGAGUGUAGAGGUGAAAUUCGUAGAUAUUCGGAAGAACACCAGUGGCGAAGGCGGCCAACUGGCUCGAUACUGACGCUGAGGUG